rnacentral:rRNA from 1 species
GCCCAAGGGAAACCUGGAUUAAUACCGGAUGAGACGGGACCCCGCGAUGGGCGGGAUCCGGGAAAGGCGCUGCGGCGCCGCCGGGGGAUGAGUCUGCGUCCCAUUAGCUAGACGGCGGGGUAACGGCCCACCGUGGCGACGAUGGGUAGCCGGCCUGAGAGGGUGGACGGCCACAUUGGAACUGAGACACGGUCCAGACUCCUACGGGAGGCAGCAGCUAAGAAUCUUCCGCAAUGGGCGAAAGCCUGACGGAGCCGACGCCGCGUGAACGAAGAAGGCCGUGAGGUUGUAAAGUUCGUUUUCGGGAGGGGGAACAACCGUGGCAGGGAAUGGCCGCGGGAUGACGUGAAUCCCGGAAUAAGCCCCGGCUAACUACGUGCCAGCCGCCGC